CCCCGCACGUGCCCCUUUCUCGGGAAAAUCAGCUUCCGAGAAAGCUUCAUAACCAAAGCCAACGCUAGUUCCUUCACUUGCUUCGCCCAAUCCGAGACGACGAAGCAAUCAAGUCUCGAAGAAACUUCUUUAUCAGAGAACCACGAACCUGAACGGCCUCCGUUCGACAUCAACCUCGCCGUCAUCCUCGCCGGUUUCGCUUUCGAGUCCUACGCUACACCUCCGGUAACUUCAUUAUCACUCACUCUUCUUCUGGCUGGGAGAAUCUUCCUGUUUUGAUUGUUUGAUUUUUUCUCAGGAAAACGUCGGGAAACGUGAGGUUAAUGCAGCUGGCUGUAAUACUCUCUACCUCUCAGAGUAUGUCGUCACUCUUUUCAUUUGUUGCCAACUAGAUGAUGAAAGAGCUUAGAUUGUUAUUAUUAUUAUACUUUGGCUUUGCUUCAGGUCAUUUGUAAGACAAGUAUACGAUGGGCAGUUAUUUAUUAAACUCAAAAGAGGAUUUGAUUUUCCUGCUUUGGAUCCAUGGGUUUGUGUUUUUUUCUUCAACACUUCAUCUUCUUUUUAAAAUUUUGGCUUAAUUAUUCUUCUUAUUGGUUUCGGUUUCAGGGAACGAGUGAUCCGUACGUGGUGAUGGACUUGGAUGGUCAGGUUGCUAAAAGCAAAACCAAAUGGGGGCAAGUUUCUUGCAAUUUUCAUUUCUGCUUCUCGACUUGGAUGGUUAUGUUCUUUUUGUUUCUAGCUAGCUUUAUCAUAAUACAAGUGUUCUGUUCAGUUUUGAUUUUGGUUAUGUUGCUUCUUAAUCAAAAUUUAGCUUUUGAUGUUUGAGUUUCAUAUGUUUAUUGCUUAUUGGAUGUUAAAUAGGCAGACCUUAGUUACUUGUAUACGUGUUGAACUUUAUUGACAGGACAAAAGAGCCCAAAUGGAACGAAGACUUUGUUUUAAAUAUCAAGCUGCCUCCUCCUGCAAAAAAGAUACAGGUACAAUAUUUGUUUGUGUGGCCUGGCCCUGGUCAAUUCUGAAAGUAGCUAGUCAAAGUAUUAUUGAAGUUUUGAGUUUUAAACAUAGUCAACUAUUAUGUUAUUCGAUGAGCGUCAGAUCGCUGCUUGGGAUGCAAAUCUUGUCACCCCACAUAAACGGAUGGGGAACUCCGAAGUCGACCUGGACUGCAUUUGUGAUGGUGAGUUGUGGUUCACACGUUUAUUACAUAAUUUCUGAGUUACUUUUAAGCAUUUAGGGGAGAUAGGUCUGUUUUUGUUGGGUAUACUUCUUUUUAAUACGAAUCCAAAGUUCUCCUCGAGAACACUAUACACUAGCAAAUUAGUAAGCUUACGAGACACUUGGCGAGGUUUUGGCGGUUAUUAAGAUUAGAGGAAUCAUCUGUGGAUCAGUGAUAUAUCUGAUGAACGUUCUGCGCGUCUUACUUGCAACUUCAGUCUCAAAAUUUAUACUUGUUCUUUUCUCUUUUGCUAAGGAAACUUGCACGAGGUGCUUGUAGAAUUAGACGGCAUUGGAGGUGGUGGGAAAGUUCAACUGGAGGUUAGUUUCUUAUGAAUCUUACAUUAUUACUUUGUUGGCUGAAAGUAUACAAUGACUGAGGUUCCCUGAGACGAAUGAUUCACUUAUGUAAAUUGCACCUCUUUCUUAUGUUCCGUAGAUUCACAUGUUUGUGUAUGCUAAACCCAAAAUGUUAGUAUCUCUACUACUUUGGCAUUUUUACUGACCGUAUUUUAAAAUAAAUUCAGAUUAGAUACAAGGGAUUUGAGGAGAUUGAAGAUGAAAAGAAGUGGUGGAAGUUACCGUUUAUUUCAGAAUUCCUUAAAAGAAACGAAAUUGAGUCAGUUUUGAGCAAUCUUGUUGACUCUGAUGCCAUUCCAGCGCGUCAAUUUGUAGAGUACGCCUUUGGACAGUUAAAGUCAGUCAAUGAUACUCCUCUUAACAACACUGAACUUCGAAACAACAAUACGGAUGGUUCCGAAGAUGACAAAAACUCUAGCUCAGAGGAUUCAUUGGAUACAAAACGCAGUGGUGAAGAUAAAGAAGGUGAUGAUGAUGGGAGCAGCGAUGAAAGUGGUAGCAUUCGGUCAGAAAGUAAUUUAUGGGAUAGCUUCCCUGACAUAGUUAGUCAAAACAUCGUGCAGAAACUUGGUCUUCGAUCACCUAAGAAACUGAAGUUAGAUGGGAUGGAAAUACUGGAAAAAUUUGGUCUACAAUCAAGAAAAACUGCAGAAGCUGGUUACAUUGAAUCAGGGCUUGCCACUGCUGAUACUCGAGAAGUUGAUGAUGAGAAGGAAGGUGGUCAGCUUGCUACUAAUGCACCCAAGUCUUCCAUUGCAGACAUGAAGAAUGCAACACAAGAAUUGCUUAAGCAGGCUGAUAAUGUCUUUGGUGCUUUACUACACACAACAUAUACCCUAUUUGCACUCUAUACUCUAUUUCCCCCCAAUUUUUUUCCCCCCAUCAUCACCAUUUUCCCUCAACUCUAUGGUAUCUCACUUCUUUUUGGAUAUUGAGCUAAUUUACUCUUAUUAAUUUUUUGCAAGCGUGUGUAAAAUAUAUAAUUUCACAGUCAAGAGAAAAGGAGUCCGUUAUCGCUUUAGACAAGAGGACACUGGGCUCCCACAGAAAUCUCCAGAAGAAACAAGAAUACAUUUUUCUUCUUCUUCUUCUCUCGUUUUGAUUGAUCAGAUCACCCAUGAGUUCUCUGCAACUACACUGCUGCCUCCCUCCACAACACCGGCGUCUUCAUCUCCGCUUCACUCCCCGCACGUGCCCCUUUCUCGGGAAAAUCAGCUUCCGAGAAAGCUUCAUAACCAAAGCCAACGCUAGUUCCUUCACUUGCUUCGCCCAAUCCGAGACGACGAAGCAAUCAAGUCUCGAAGAAACUUCUUUAUCAGAGAACCACGAACCUGAACGGCCUCCGUUCGACAUCAACCUCGCCGUCAUCCUCGCCGGUUUCGCUUUCGAGUCCUACGCUACACCUCCG
rnacentral:lncRNA from 1 species